rnacentral:rRNA from 1 species
UACGGAGGUGGCUAGCUUUGCUCGGAAUUACUGGGCGUAAAGCGCACGUAGGCGGAUUUGUAAGUCAGGGGUGAAAUCCCGGGGCUCAACCUCGGAACUGCCUUUGAUACUGCAAAUCUCGAGUCCGGAAGAGGUGAGUGGAAUUCCUAGUGUAGAGGUGAAAUUCGUAGAUAUUAGGAAGAACACCAGUGGCGAAGGCGGCUCACUGGUCCGGUACUGACGCUGAGGUGCGAAAGCGUGGGGAGCAAACAGG